rnacentral:rRNA from 1 species
UACCGGACGAACGUUAUUCGGAAUCACUGGGCUUAAAGAGUGCGUAGGCGGCUUAACAGGUGGGGUGUGAAAUCCCACGGCUCAACCGUGGAAUUGCGCUCCAAACCGUUAGGCUUGAGGGAGACAGGGGUGAGCGGAACUGAUGGUGGAGCGGUGAAAUGCGUUGAUAUCAUCAGGAACACCGGUGGCGAAGGCGGCUCACUGGGUCUCUUCUGACGCUGAGGCACGAAAGCUAGGGUAGCGAACGGG